rnacentral:rRNA from 1 species
CCCGCUGAACUUAAGCAUAUCAAUAAGCGGAGGAAAAGAAACCAACAGGGAUUGCCCUAGUAACGGCGAGUGAAGCGGCAACAGCUCAAAUUUGAAAUCUGGCGCAAGCCCGAGUUGUAAUUUGUAGAGGAUGCUUCUGGGUAGCGGCCGGUCUAAGUUCCUUGGAACAGGACGUCAUAGAGGGUGAGAAUCCCGUAUGUGACUGGCUUGCACCCUCCACGUAGCUCCUUCGACGAGUCGAGUUGUUUGGGAAUGCAGCUCUAAAUGGGAGGUAAAUUUCUUCUAAAGCUAAAUACCGGCCAGAGACCGAUAGCGCACAAGUAGAGUGAUCGAAAGAUGAAAAGCACUUUGGAAAGAGAGUUAAAAAGCACGUGAAAUUGUUGAAAGGGAAGCGCCCGCAACCAGACUUUGCGGCAGUGUUCGGCCGGUCUUCUGACCGGUUUACUCGCUGUCGUGAGGCCAUCAUCGUCUGGGACCGCUGGAUAAGACCUUAGGAAUGUGGCUCCCCUCGGGGAGUGUUAUAGCCUCUGGUGAUGCAGCGCGUCUCGGGCGAGGUCCGCGCUUCGGCAAGGAUGAUGGCGUAAUGGUUGUCGGCGGCCCGUCUUGAAACACGGACCAAGGAGUCUAACAUCUAUGCGAGUGUUCGGGUGUCAAACCCCUACGCGUAAUGAAAGUGAACGGAGGUGGGAACUUUUUGUGCACCAUCGACCGAUCCUGAUGUCCUCGGAUGGAUUUGAGUAAGAGCAUAGCUGUUGGGACCCGAAAGAUGGUGAACUAUGCCUGAAUAGGGUGAAGCCAGAGGAAACUCUGGUGGAGGCUCGCAGCGGUUCUGACGUGCAAAUCGAUCGUCAAAUUUGGGUAUAGGGGCGAAAGACUAAUCGAACC